AAUCAGUGGAUAAACAUUUUUGCACAGUGGACUGUCCACUUAGAACAAGAAAAAGACUACUGUUCAAGGUUAUUAACUCUACAAUGUCGUUCCCUCGUUUUCUCCGCAGCGCCAUUAAAACCAGCCGAAUCACAUCACCAUCAAAGUUUGCCCUUUCAUCAGCAAGAUCAACACUCUUUGCUACUUUUAAUGGCGAUUGCAAUCGACGACCCUUUUGUUCCGAUUCCAAGAAUUCGACUUCCGAAUCCGAGAAGAGUACAACAGCAUCAGCAUCAUCGUACUACCAUCUAAGCGGUGGGCCAUCUCAUAUGCGUGCUGCUGUGUUUUGGGAACCGGGCAAACCCCUGACCUUUGAAGACUUUCACAUGCCCCGCCCUAAAGCUAAUGAAGUUCUCAUCAAAACUAAAGCCUGUGGUGUCUGCCACUCUGACUUGCAUGUAAUGAAAGGUGAACUUCCAUUUGCUAGCCCUUGUGUUGUUGGGCAUGAGAUUACUGGUGAAGUGGUUGAACAUGGGCAGCUCACAGACACUAAAAUCAUUGAAAGAUAUCCCAUGGGAUCUCAAGUUGUUGGAGCUUUCAUUAUGCCUUGUGGUAGCUGUUUCUUCUGCUCUAAGGGUCAAGAUGACUUAUGCGAGGCUUUCUUUGCUUACAAUCGAGCGAAGGGAACCCUUUAUGACGGUGAAACGCGGCUGUUCCUCCGCAAUAGUGGUAAGCCAGUGUAUAUGUAUAGCAUGGGAGGUCUUGCUGAAUACUGUGUUGUGCCAGCACAUGCAUUGGCUGUUCUACCAAAUACAUUGCCAUACACAGAAUCUGCCAUUUUAGGAUGUGCAGUUUUUACUGCCUAUGGGGCUAUGGCGCAUGCUGCAGAGGUGCGCCCAGGUGAUGCUAUUGCCGUGAUUGGCAUAGGAGGUGUUGGCUCAAGCUGUCUGCAAAUAGCAAGAGCAUUUGGGGCAUCAGAGAUUAUUGCUGUAGAUGUGCAAGAUGAGAAAUUGCAGAAAGCUAAAAUGUUUGGAGCCACUCACUGUGUAAAUGCAUUGAAGGAGGACACAGUGAAGAGAAUAAAAGACAUCACAGGAGGCAUGGGUGUUGACGUAGCUGUUGAAGCUUUGGGAAAACCACAAACAUUCUUGCAAUGCGUGCAGAGCGUUCGGGAUGGAGGCAAAGCUGUGAUGAUCGGACUGACACUAUCUGGUGCUAAGGGGGAGGUGGAUAUAAACCACCUAGUGCGACGACAGGCAGGUGUAAGGCUGCGUAGGUGAAAAUAGUCCAUAUACAUUGGGAAUUUAUUACUCUAUUUGGAGCAUGGAAAUCCAUAUUAUGUUUAGAUAAAAGUAAUUGGUUCUUAUGGAGCCAGAGCAAGACAAGAUCUCCCUAAGCUGAUUAAACUCGCCGAAAGUGGCAUAUUCAAUCUUAGUGCAGCUGUUUCAAGGACAUGCAAAUUCGAGGAGGCUGGACAGGCAUACAAAGAUCUUGAUCAGGGAGCCAUUUCUGGACGCUGUGUUGUUGAGAUAAUGUAAUUGUGACAUCUACAGCAAGCAUCACCCAUUUGACAUUCAUGUAAACUUCAGUUUUCUUGGGGUCAAAAGCUAGCAAAUGUUGUUGGUGUUUAAUGAAGCAAACGGUUAACACCUGUACAUACAUGUAAAACAAAAAUAAAGCGAAUUUUGAAAAGCGUGCUGUCCAAAAACAUAAUUCUCAGAA